AUUGAACGCUGGCGGCAGGCCUAACACAUGCAAGUCGAACGAGUGGCGGACGGGUGAGUCCUGUCUGGGAAACUGCCCGAUGGAGGGGGAUAACUACUGGACACGGUAGCUAAUACCGCAUACCAUCGGAUGUGCCCAGAUGGGAUUCGCUAGUCGGUGGGGUAACGGCUCACCUAGGCGACGAUCCCUAGCUGGUCUGAGAGGAUGACCCGCCACACUGGAACUGAGACACGGUCCAGACUCCGACGGGAGGCAGCAGUGGGGAAUAUGGCACAAUGGGCGCAAGCCUGAUGCAGCCAUGCCGCGUGUAUGAAGAAGGCCUUAGGGUGGUAAAGUACUUUAAGCGAGGAGGCGUGACUCGCAGAAGAAGCACCGGCUAACGCCGUGCCAGCAGCCGCGGUAAUAC
rnacentral:rRNA from 1 species